rnacentral:rRNA from 1 species
CUUAUGGAGAGUUUGAUCCUGGCUCAGAACGAACGCUGGCGGCGCGCUUAAUACAUGCAAGUCGUGCGAGAAAGCACCCUUCGGGGUGUCAGUACAGCGGCGAACGGGUGAGUAACACGUAAGCAACCUGUCUCCAAGUUCGGGAUAGCCCUGCCAACGCGGGGAUAAUACCGGAUGUGGUCACGAGAUCGCAUGGUUUCGUGAUUAAAGGUGACCUCUACACGUACGUUACUGUUUGGAGAGGGGCUUGCGGACCAUUAGCUUGUUGGUGAGGUAACGGCUCACCAAGGCAGUGAUGGUUAGCCGACCUGAGAGGGUGAUCGGCCACAUUGGGACUGAGAUACGGCCCAGACUCCUACGGGAGGCAGCAGUAGGGAAUUUUGCGCAAUGGACGAAAGUCUGACGCAGCGACGCCGCGUGAGCGAUGAAGGUCUUCGGAUUGUAAAGCUCUGUUGAGUGGGAAGAAAAAACCCGGAAGUAAUAUUUUCGGGCCUUGACGGUACCACUCGAGGAAGCCCCGGCUAACUACGUGCCAGCAGCCGCGGUAAUACGUAGGGGGCUAGCGUUGUUCGGAAUCACUGGGCGUAAAGGGAGUGUAGGCGGGAAGAUAAGUUAGGAGUUAAAGACACAGGCUUAACCUGUGGCCUGCUUUUAAUACUGUCUUUCUUGAGUAUGGGAGAGGGUGAUGGAAUUCCAGGUGUAGCGGUGGAAUGCGUAGAUAUCUGGAAGAACACCAGUUGCGAAGGCGGUC